ACACAUGCAAGUCGAACGCAACCUUCGGGUUGAGUGGCGGACGGGUGAGUAACGCGUGAGAAUCUGCCUUGGGGUCGGGGACAACCACUGGAAACGGUGGCUAAUACCGGAUACGCCUUCGGGUAAAAGAUUUAUUGCCCUAAGAGGAGCUCGCGUCUGAUUAGCUAGUUGGUGAGGUAAGAGCUCACCAAGGCAGCGAUCAGUAGCUGGUCUGAGAGGACGAUCAGCCACACUGGGACUGAGACACGGCCCAGACUCCUACGGGAGGCAGCAGUGGGGAAUUUUCCGCAAUGGGCGAAAGCCUGACGGAGCAAGACCGCGUGAGGGAGGAAGGCUCUUGGGUUGUAAACCUCUUUUCUCAGGGAAGAAGCUCUGACGGUACCUGAGGAAUCAGCCUCGGCUAACUCCGUGCCAGC
rnacentral:rRNA from 1 species